rnacentral:rRNA from 1 species
UCCGUGCCAGCAGCCGCGGUAAUACGGAGGGUGCAAGCGUUGUCCGGAAUCAUUGGGCGUAAAGAGUUCGUAGGUGGUUUGUUAAGUUUGGUGUUAAAUGCAGAGGCUCAACUUCUGUUCGGCAUCGGAUACUGGCAGACUAGAAUGCGGUAGAGGUAAAGGGAAUUCCUGGUGUAGCGGUGAAAUGCGUAGAUAUCAGGAGGAACAUCGGUGGCGUAAGCGCUUUACUGGGCCGUAAUUGACACUGAGGAACGAAAGCCAGGGUAGCAAAUGGGAUUAGAUACCCCAGUAGUCCUGGCCGUAAACGAUGGAUACUAGGUGUUGCGGGUAUCGACCCCUGCAGUGCCGUAGCAAACGCGUUAAGUAUCCCGCCUGGGGAGUACGCACGCAAGUGUGAAACUCAAAGGAAUUGACGGGGACCCGCACAAGCGGUGGAACAUGUGGUUUAAUUCGAAGCAACGCGAAGAACCUUACCAGGGCUUGACAUCUAACAAACCUUUGUGAAAGCAGAGGGUGCUCUUCGGAGAAUGUUAAGACAGGUGGUGCACGGUUGUCGUCAGCUCGUGUCGUGAGAUGUUGGGUUAAGUCCCGCAACGAGCGCAACCCUCGUCGUUAGUUGGUACUAUCGGUAUACUUAUAGUAACCUCUCUAGCGAGACUGCCGGUGAUAAACCGGAGGAAGGUGAGGACGAGGUCAAAUCAUCAUGCCCCUUAUGCUCUGGGCUACACACGUGUUACAAUGGCCGGUACAAUGAGCCGCCAACUCGCGAGAGUGAGCAAAUCUCUAAAAGCCGGUCUCAGUUCGGAUUGCAGUCUGCAACUCGACUGCAUGAAGUCGGAAUCGCUAGUAAACGCAGAUCAGCACGCUGCGUUGAAUACGUUCCCGGGUCUUGUACACACCGCCCGUCACACCAUGGAAGUCGACCACGCCCGAAGUACGUGAGCUAACCGUAAGGAAGCAGCGUCCUAAGGCAGGGUUGGUGACUGGGGUGAAGUCGUAACAAGGUAGCCGUACCGGAAGGUGUGGCUG